GACGAACGCUGGCGGCGUGCUUAACACAUGCAAGUCGAACGGAAAGGCCCUGCUUGCCGGGUACUCGAGUGGCGAACGGGUGAGUAACACGUGGGUGAUCUGCCCUGCACUUCGGGAUAAGCCUGGGAAACUGGGUCUAAUACCGGAUAGGAGCCAUUUUUAUUGUGAUGGUUGGAAAGUUUUUUCGGUGUAGGAUGAGCUCGCGGCCUAUCAGCUUGUUGGUGGGGUAAUGGCCUACCAAGGCGGCGACGGGUAGCCGGCCUGAGAGGGUGGACGGCCACAAUGGGACUGAGAUACGGCCCAGACUCCUACGGGAGGCAGCAGUGGGGAAUAUUGCACAAUGGGCGCAAGCCUGAUGCAGCGACGCCGCGUGGGGGAUGACGGCCUUCGGGUUGUAAACGCCUUUCGCUAGGGACGAAGCUUUUUGUGACGGUACCUAGAGAAGAAGCACCGGCUAACUACGUG
rnacentral:rRNA from 1 species